rnacentral:rRNA from 1 species
UGGCGACCGGCGCACGGGUGCGUAACGCGUAUGCAACCUACCCAUAACAGGGGGAUAACACUGAGAAAUUGGUACUAAUACCCCAUAACAUCAGGACCGGCAUCGGUUCUGGUUGAAAACUCCGGUGGUUAUGGAUGGGCAUGCGUUGUAUUAGCUAGUUGGUGAGGUAACGGCUCACCAAGGCAACGAUACAUAGGGGGACUGAGAGGUUAACCCCCCACAUUGGUACUGAGACACGGACCAA